GGCAUGCUGGGGGCAUUUGCAGAAAGGGCAGUAGGAGAGCAGUUUGGAGGGAGGUAAGGCAGGAAGCACUCAGUCCUGGGCUCAGGGACUGUGACGUGCUGCUGGAACCUGCCUGGGGAGCUCAGGAAUGAGGGGAGAUGGCAAAUAAAGACCUGGCAUGAGGCUGGGGGCAGGGACAGAAAUCACCCUGGUGUCCGAGGAAGGAAAGUGGAACGCUAAAGAGGAACCCACACCAGCAUGUGAUCUCGACUCACUCUUUUUCCCCUGCCCUACUGAAAGCUGGCUGGGGACCUGGAGUGUUUGCAACGACGCAAGAUGAGAAGCUGGGUCACUGAAACAUUAACUCACAGACCAGGGUGGGUUGCAGCUGAUCCAACAGGCUGGACAGCCGCAUCAAUGCUUCCUAGAAGAGGAGAUGGGAGGAGAGAGUGAGCCCAGGAGCCUCUGCGUGGAGACCAAGGGGCCGAGGAGCACAGAAAGCCCCAGGGCUACGCAUCUUGGGUCAAAAGUCGCUGAAAAGAUAUUGAUAUCUACUUUUCUUUCUUUUUUUUUUUUUUCACUGUCUUUUUCUGGUUUUAGUAUCAGGGUAAUAUUAGCUUCAUAAAAUGUGGUGGUAAGUGUUCCUUCCCCUCCUAUUUUCUGGGAGAGAUUAUGUAAAAUUAUUGGUCACUAUAGAGAUUAUGACAUACAUACACAACUUACCACAAGCUACUGGUGUUGACACUGCCACUUUGAGUAAGUGUAGAAACCUUACUUCCAUUUAGUUCUCUUUAGCUUCCCCACUUAAAAAUAUAUGUGUCUUGAGUGUGUUCUUUACAUAUAUUGAACAUCACAUAAGAUGCUGUUACAAUUUUUGCUUCAAUCAUCAAAUAUGAUUUCAGAUACUCAUGAGAAGUAUAGUCUGUUGUAUUUAUUUCUAUUUAUGUACUUCCCAUAGUUUGUUUUUCUUUUCUGGAGCUCCAAGCAUUCUUGAAACCAAUGAGAAAAGUGGAAAAAUCUCAGUCCAGAAAUAGAAGGUAUAAUUUUUAAAUAAAAGCUUCUGUUCAGAUAACAUUCUUUACCCAAUCUUUAAAGAUACAUUUGCCAACAAUAAAUGCUCUUAGUUUUUCUUCAUCCAAGAAUGUUUUGCUUUCUCCUUCAUUUCUGAAGGAUGUUUUCACCAGAUACAGUAUUCACAGUUGACAGUUCUUUUUCUCAGUACUUGAAAGAUGCUGAGCCACUUCCUCUGGCCUCCAUCAUUUCAGAUGGGAAAUCCACUAUCAUUGCAAUUAAUUUUUCCCAUGUCAUAAAUGUGUUAUUUCUUUCUGACUGCUUUCAAUAUGUUUUUGUCUUUAGUUUAACUAUUUAAUUAUGAUGUGGAUUUCUUUACAUCUAGCCUGCUUGGAAUCCACUAAACUUCUUGAAUCUGUAGGUUUAUGUCUUUCUCCAAAUUUGAGAAGUUUUUAACCACUACUUCUUUGAAUACUUUUAGUCUCACUCUCUUCUCCUUUGGGACUCAGAAGGUAUGGCUGUUAGCUCUUUUCUUAUUGUCUCACAGGUCCCUGGGACUGUUAUUUCUUCCGUCUAUUUUUUUUUUUUUUUGAGACGGAGUCUCGCUCUGUCGCCCAGGUUGGACUGCAGCGGCGUGAUCUCGGCUCACUGCAAGCUCCGUCUUCCGGGUUCAUGCCA
rnacentral:lncRNA from 10 species